rnacentral:rRNA from 1 species
AGAGUUAAACAGUACGUGAAAUUGUUGAAAGGGAAACGAUUGAAGCCAGUCGUACUCACGGGUAAUCAACCUUUCUGGCGCGAUUAUGUGGGCGUGUUGGAGCCUAAUCAGCCCUCACGUCCUGAUAUUUGUUCCCCUUGGGUGUACUUGCUCGUGCGGUAGGUUAACAUCAAUUUUGGACGUCAUAAAAUGACCGGAGGAAUGUAGCUUCGAUCUCGUAUUGAAGUGUUAUAGCCUUUGGUAGAUGUGGUGAUCGAGACUGAGGAUUGCAACGAAUAUCCUUUGGGCUAUCUGUCUGAUCUCUGAAAGUCGCUUAGGUGCCGAAAGCUUGCUUACGGUCAUUUAAGUUUGACGUUCAAUAGGUUAGAACGGGUUAAAUUCGUUAAGGAUGUUGACGUAAUGGCUUUAAACGACC